rnacentral:tRNA from 1 species
UGCCCAAUAGUAUAAAGGUAGUACGUCAGAUUCUGGAUCUGAGUGUCUUGGUUCGAAUCCAGGUUGGGCAAC